rnacentral:rRNA from 1 species
CAGGACGAACGCUGGCGGGGUGUUUUACACAUGGAAGUCGAACGGGGAACAAACGCUUCGGUGUUUGUUUCCAGUGGCGGACGGGUGAGUAACGCGUGAACAAGCUGUCCUUCACAGGGGGAUAACACUGAGAAAUCAGUGCUAAUACCGCAUAAGACCACAGAAACCGCAUGGUUUUGGGGUCAAAGGAUUUAUUCGAUGCAGGAUGGGCUCGCGUCCCAUUAGAUAGUUGGUGAGGUAACGGCCCACCAAGUCAGCGAUGGGUAGCCGAGCUGAGAGGCUGAUCGGCCACACUGGGACUGAAACACGGCCCAAACUCCUACGGGAGGCAGCAGUGGGGAAUAUUGGGCAAUGGGGGAAACCCUUACCCAGCAACGCCGCGUGAGAGAAGAAGGUUUUCGGAUUGUAAAUCUCUGUCCUUGGGGGCGAAGGAAGUGACGGUACCAUAGGAGGAAGCCCCGGCUAACUACGUGCCAGCAGCCGCGGUAAUACGUAGGGGGCGAGCGUUGUCCGGAAUUAUUGGGCGUAAAGGGUGCGUAGGUGGUCAAGUAAGUCAGAUGUGAAAGACCGGGGCUUAACCCCGGGAUUGCAUUUGAAACUGUUUGACUUGAGUGCAGGAGAGGGAAGCGGAAUUCCAAGUGUAGCGGUGAAAUGCGUAGAUAUUUGGAGGAACACCAGUGGCGAAGGCGGCUUUCUGGACUGCAACUGACGUUGAGGCGCGAAAGCGUGGGGAGCGAACAGGAUUAGAUACCCUGGUAGUCCACGCUGUAAACGAUGGAUGCUAGGUGUGGGGCCCGAUAGGGUUCCGUGCCGGAGUUAACGCAAUAAGCAUCCCGCCUGGGGAGUACGGCCGCAAGGUUGAAACUCAAAGGAAUUGACGGGGGCCCGCACAAGCAGCGGAGCAUGUGGUUUAAUUUGAAGCAACGCGAAGAACCUUACCAGGGCUUGACAUCCUCUGACGGCUGUAGAGAUACAGCUUCCCUUCGGGGCAGAAAGACAGGUGGUGCAUGGUUGUCGUCAGCUCGUGUCGUGAGAUGUUGGGUUAAGUCCCGCAACGAGCGCAACCCCUAUUGCUAGUUGCCAGCACGUCAUGGUGGGAACUCUAGUGAGACUGCCGGGGACAACUCGGAGGAAGGUGGGGACGACGUCAAAUCAUCAUGCCCCUUAUGUCUUGGGCUACACACGUGCUACAAUGGCCGGUACAAAGAGAAGCGAGGCCGCAAGGCGGAGAGAAUCUCAAAAAAGGUGUCGCAGUUCGGAUUGUGGGCUGCAACCCGCCCACAAGAAGUCUGAGUUGGUUGUAAUCGCGGAUUAGCAUGUCGCGGAAAAUACGUU